rnacentral:lncRNA from 1 species
GUACAGAAUCCUUCCUCAAUAGUCAAAAUAUUUUGAAAAUGUUGUUUUUCUAUAUAUUCGUUGGAUUUAAAAGUUUUGUUUGUGACAAAACUAUUUCUUAAGAGUUGGGUUUGAAAUACUUUUAGAGCUCUGAGAUAGGUUUUGAGAGAAAAUUUCUAUCUCAGGUUUUGAAAAAGGGAUAGAAAGUAUACCUUUACCCUUGUUGGAGGAGGAGGAUGACUUUGGAAAGGCUUCGGGUUGAAGUUGUAUCACUUGCUUUGAAUAUUCUUCGACCCUUUUCAGGAAUUCAGGAUCUUGUUGUGCAAGCCACUCCUGAAUUUGCAAUUGUUGUUGGGCCGGAUCGGCCUUGCUUUGGUCAAUUUCUUCCUGGAUGAUUUCGGUCCAGGUUCUGAUGGGCUUUGAAGAGGAAGGCAAAAUUUCCUUCUUUGGACUUUGGACAGGCUUUGAAUUUGCUGUCGUCUUUUCUUCUUUUGCUUUUGAUUUUCUUGGC